AAGUCCUGACAGUGGGCUCUUGGUGGCAGGGUGACUCUCUUGGCCCUGCCCAGGCUGGAACCCAGGCCAGGUACCUGCACUCAGGUCCAGACACAGAGAGGCCAGGCCCAGGGCAGCCAGAAGAGGCCCAAAUAUGCCAGGGCUGCAACAUCGCGUCCCCAGGCACACAGACAAUGCCAGUACUCAAUUCGCUGUAAUCAUGGAAAGCCUGACUGCUCUACCUGGAAUUAGACUUCCUGCUAUGGAUAACCUGUAAACCAACCUCCCUGCCUUCCCUUCGUGGAAAAUUGAAGUUGAUUAUUAAAAAAAAAAAAAAGUAGACUCUGUAUUAAGAGGCCCUGUCAUCUGAAAAUGGAAACCUCACCAACACAAAAUAUAUCAAAAGGAUGAGUAUUCUUUUUACAAAAAGAGUUCCUACUGAGUUAAUUUUAGUAGAUUUUUAGUAAAGCCUUUUUAGACAACUAUAACAAGGCAGAGAGGACUGUUUGAAGGCGGCAGCUUUGAGCAGGAGAGC
rnacentral:lncRNA from 1 species